UUUUUCUUAAUGUUUAUAGCAAGCUUGUCUAACCCACAGCCCAUGGGCCACAUGCAGCCUAGACACCUUUGAAUGUGGCCUAACACAAUUUCGUAAACUUUCCUCAAACAUUAU